rnacentral:rRNA from 1 species
GAUGAACGCUAGCGGCAGGCUUAAUACAUGCAAGUCGAGGGACAGCACAGGUAGCAAUACUGGGUGGUAACCGGCAAACGGGUGCGGAACACGUACACAACCUUCCUUUAAGUGGGGGAUAGCCCAGAGAAAUUUGGAUUAAUACCCCGUAAUAUAGUUGAAUGGCAUCAUUUGAUUAUUAUAGCUACGGCGCUUAAUGAUGGGUGUGCGGCUGAUUAGAUAGUUGGCGGGGUAACGGCCCACCAAGUCUACGAUCAGUAGCUGAUGUGAGAGCAUGAACAGCGACACGGGCACUAAGACACGGGCCCGACUGCUACGGGAGGCAGCAGUAAGGAAUAUUGGUCAAUGGACGCAAGUCUGAGCCAGCCAUGCCGCGUGAAGGAUUAAGGUCCUCUGGAUUGUAAACUUCUUUUAUUUGGGACGAAAAAGGGCCUUUCUAGGUCAACUGACGGUACCAGAUGAAGAAGCACCGGCUAACUCCGUGCCAGCCGCCGCCGUAACAC